CUGCGGCUGCGGCCGCGCCGGGGGAACGUGAGGGAAAACACCCGGCUCCGGCGGUGCUGAACCCCGGAUCGCCUGAAACGCGUGUGCGAUCCGCGCGGAAACCGCCACUUCCCCCCAGAUCGCAUCCUCCCGUCGUGAAAUUUGGGCUCAGCCCCCCCCCCUCCCCCCCACGCGGGGUUUGGGGCUGUAAAGUUCCCGUUAGAAAUCGUGUCUUUAUGGUAGGAAGGCGGCUGUCGCUGGCCGCGAACCUGCCCCCGUGACUGACACGCUGGUACUGAUUUGGGUUUGAUCGAAUUGACUUUACACUGAUUUUAUUUGGCGUGCUGCAAAUGGCAUUGAGGCCGUGGUGCAGUCCGUGGCGAAGGCCACUCGGAACGCUUGAAAUGGGCAAGUUUGGAAAAUAAUGUCGUUGCUAUACCUUUUUAAUACUUUUAAUUCCCCCCUUCCACUCCUUUUUCUGCAGUCUUAAGCAUGGGAACUUUUACUUUCAAAAAACAUACGUAUCCUUUCUCUGGGUUCCUCUUUCAGUGGACGCCAAAUCCGGAGCAGCACGAGGUGAAGCGAGAGAUYAAACAGUUUUCGCCGAAGUGAUGGGAAUGAGGAUGUGGGUGUGCAAGGCGAGCAGUGUAGCAAUGCUAUGAAUGGUACAGCAGAGUACAGGCUGUUCACCGCUUUACCCAGGGAUUCUGGAGGAACUACGUGUAAGAAGACAGAAGAAAAAAGCGCUGGCUCUCUCUGGCGAUUUUCGGGUGYGAAUGACUGCGACGCGCAGAGCCGUUCCUGCCCCAGCAGCGAUGGGCUGUUUGCAGAGGGCCGUCCUGCUCUCUCCUGCACGCGCUCUUCAGACGGCAAUUCGUGGCCUUUCCGGGAAAAGGAUUUGCAGAGAUAGGCCACAGCGCUGGCUUAAGCAUCUUCAAAGUCUAAAAGCACAACGCGUAAAGGCCCGGUUGGUGAUGCCCUUUGAAACGGUCAUCGAAAGCGUUCUGAGAAGAAUCACAACACCAGUAAGUGUCAUAUUUAUUAACAAGUAAAUGUUUACUUAGGAAGGUAGUGCUCAUAAGGAAUUCCCGUUGUCGUCCUUUAAAUCCUCCUGUCCCGUGCUGAGCCCCAGGUCCUCGUACGACGUUUUGGGUCCCCCUGCCCACGCAACGGGCAUUGCCUCCCAGGC
rnacentral:lncRNA from 1 species